rnacentral:rRNA from 1 species
UACGUAGGGUCCAAGCGUUAUCCGGAAUUAUUGGGCGUAAAGAGCUCGUAGGCGGUUUGUCGCGUCUGCCGUGAAAGUCCGGGGCUCAACUCCGGAUCUGCGGUGGGUACGGGCAGACUAGAGUGAUGUAGGGGAGACUGGAAUUCCUGGUGUAGCGGUGAAAUGCGCAGAUAUCAGGAGGAACACCAGUGGCGAAGGCGGCGAUCUGGGAAGAUACUGACGCUGAGGUGCGAAAGCGUGGGGAGCAAACAGG